rnacentral:lncRNA from 1 species
GACCAACACGAGAAGUCACAUGGAUGUCUGCUCAAUCGUUAGUGACUUUCUCGAUACUGCAGUUGUAUGACUGAUCCUUUGAUCUGAGGUGGUAUUACUGCUCGCAGUGAGGCUGCUGGAGUUUGACUGACACAUCAACAUAGGUCUCAAAGAGCCCUUGUAGUGGAUGUUGGCGACAGCUGAUCCAUUGUAGAAGUGGGGUAUGCAUCAAGAUG